rnacentral:rRNA from 1 species
GAUGAACGCUAGCUACAGGCUUAACACAUGCAAGUCGAGGGGAAACGAUAGAGAAAGCUUGCUUUUUCUAGGCGUCGACCGGCGCACGGGUGAGUAACGCGUAUCCAACCUGCCCAUCACUUGGGGAUAACCUUGCGAAAGUAAGACUAAUAGCCAAUGAUGUCUCUAGAAGACACCUGAAAGGGAUUAAAGAUUUAUCGGGGAUGGAUGGGGAUGCGUCUGAUUAGCUUGUUGGCGGGGUGCCGGCCCACCAAGGCGACGAUCCGUAGGGGUUCUGAGAGGAAGGGCCCCCACAUUGGAACUGAGACACGGUCCAAACUCCUACGGGAGGCAGCAGUGAGGAAUAUUGGUCAAUGGGCGAGAGCCUGAACCAGCCAAGUAGCGUGCAGGAUGACGGCCCUAUGGGUUGUAAACUGCUUUUAUAAGGGAAUAAAGUGAGCCUCGUGAGGCUUUUUGCAUGUACCUUAUGAAUAAGGACCGGCUAAUUCCGUGCCAGCCGCCGCCGUAA